rnacentral:lncRNA from 1 species
UCAUCACGAUGACUCGACUUGACUUUGCCUUUUUUAGGUGUGCGGGGUGAUUUUUUGGGUUAGAAUAAGUAUAACUUGAGAAGGAGAAGGAGGAUAAUAUUUUAAUCUAGUAACUAUGGAAAACUCCUUCCAACCAAAACAAACAGGCAUGCCACAUAAAUUUAUCCACACCCCAUCUAUCUUGUCUUUGUUUUCAUACAUAAAUCUACGUUUGAGAAGAUCAUAUACCAUUUUCAUUU